rnacentral:rRNA from 1 species
UUUUAAAAACAUAGCCACUAGCUGAUACUGUGUGGUUCAACCUGCCCAAUGUUUUAAUAAAUGGCCGCGGUAUCCUGACCGUGCUAAGGUAGCGUAAUCAGUUGACUUUUAAAUGAAGUCAGGAAUGAAUGGGAAAACCGGGUUUAGCUGUCUUAAAAUUACUAUGCCGAAUUUACUUUUUAAGUGAAAAAGCUUAAAUUAAGAAAAGGGACGAGAAGACCCUUAGAAUUUUUUUUAAGAUAAAUUAUUAUUUUUUAUUAUUUUAUUGGGGCGAUAAAGAAAUAUUAAAAACUUUCUGUUAAAAACAAGCCGAUUAUACUAAGAAAGAAUAAAUUACCUGAGGGAUAACAGCAUAAUCUUAUAAUUAGGUUUGUGACCUCGAUGUUGGACUAGGAAACUAAUAGGCUAGCCGUUUAUUAUGUUAGGUUCUGUUCGAACUUUUAUUCCUACGUGAUCUGA